rnacentral:tRNA from 1 species
AUUUAUAUAGUUUAAAUAAAAACAUUACAUUUUCACUGUAAAAAUAAAAAUUCAUUUUUUAUAAAUA